rnacentral:ncRNA from 1 species
GCAGAGUAGAAUACCGGGCGUAAAGUGCCGUGUGAACGGGGAGUUGUCACGCGGACGAAAAGCGGUCGCUUGCGGUCAGGUAAUUCGCAUCCCGCUGC